CCAGCUUGCUGGGUGGAUUAGUGGCGAACGGGUGAGUAACACGUGGGUGAUCUGCCCUGCACUUCGGGAUAAGCCUGGGAAACUGGGUCUAAUACCGGAUAGGACCUCGGGAUGCAUGUUCCGGGGUGGAAAGGUUUUCCGGUGCAGGAUGGGCCCGCGGCCUAUCAGCUUGUUGGUGGGGUAACGGCCCACCAAGGCGACGACGGGUAGCCGGCCUGAGAGGGCGACCGGCCACACUGGGACUGAGACACGGCCCAGACUCCUACGGGAGGCAGCAGUGGGGAAUAUUGCACAAUGGGCGCAAGCCUGAUGCAGCGACGCCGCGUGAGGGAUGACGGCCUUCGGGUUGUAAACCUCUUUCAGUACCGACGAAGCGCAAGUGACGGUAGGUACAGAAGAAGCACCGGCCAACUACGUGCCAGCAGCCGCGGUAAUACGUAGGGUGCGAGCGUUGUCCGGAAUUACUGGGCGUAAAGAGCUCGUAGGCGGUUUGUCGCGUCGUCUGUGAAAACCCGCAGCUCAACUGCGGGCUUGCAGGCGAUACGGGCAGACUUGAGUACUGCAGGGGAGACUGGAAUUCCUGGUGUAGCGGUGAAAUGCGCAGAUAUCAGGAGGAACACCGGUGGCGAAGGCGGGUCUCUGGGCAGUAACUGACGCUGAGGAGCGAAAGCGUGGGUAGCGAACAGGAUUAGAUACCCUGGUAGUCCACGCCGUAAACGGUGGGCGCUAGGUGUGGGUUUCCUUCCACGGGAUCCGUG
rnacentral:rRNA from 1 species